rnacentral:lncRNA from 1 species
UGGCAGCCCCCGCCCUCGCCCUCCGCCCCUCGACACAGACUCAAAGGUAGAGGAUGGAGUCCAGCCCCUCCCCUACAGCUCCCCCCUGAAUCUAGAGGCGAGAGUGGUCCCACCGCUGUCAAGUCACUCCUCCCUGAGGCCAGUUUUCCCCACGAGUGUCUUCGAUGGGAGAGGAAAGCCACCUCCGUGGGUUGCGUGUUUGUGAAACGAAGAUGGGAACGGAGACUCGGCAGGUCCCGGGAGAAGCUGACGCGCCCCCGCGUCCCCAGCACCCCCGGCCGGGCUUGUGCGGACGUGUCUCGGGCGUGACCUCUGAGCAGCUGCGCCACCGGCUCAGCCUCGCGGCGGGAGAAACCCGAGCUCCCAACAAAACAGUUCCAUCUUUGGCAAGUCCUCUGAUACCAGGUGGUCAGCAGAGGCUCAGAAGCUUUACAUCUUUACAAGAGGAAGUCUCCUUUCUAAUAUCAUCCCCCCCGUCCCCAAACUGAUUCCACUUGGCCUCUACCUGCCUGAGGUACUGGAAUGCAGAGUUGAAAUUGACAAAAAUAAUGCUUCUUUUCCAGGGCCGAAAUUUCCGGGCCCCAUAAUAGUAGGUAACAUUUACAGAGUGCUUAUUCUGAGCUACGCACUUUGAUGCAAUAACUCAUUGGAGCCUCACAACAAUCCUGUGAAUCCUCGGAAGUAGGAAUUCUUAUUAUCCCUUUUUUGCAGGCAAUGAAACAAGCACAGAGAGGUUGGGCAAUGUGCUUGGGGUCACACAGCUAGGAAAUGGUAGGGUUGGGAUUGAAAUUUAGGCAAGUCUUGCUCCAGAGCCUGUGCUUAUAACUGCUUUGCUCACCAGGUGAAAGAUACUGUGUUUUGGAAUUUGUCUCCUAGCACACUGGGUCUUGACAAGGUGGAGAAAGGAGCUCUAGGAAGUUUGGAAAUCAGACGUGGCCAAGUCAGGAUCUUCUGAAAUGUUCCGACGUGGUCAGAAAGAGCUGGGGUCUGUGGGGGUGUGGUGUACAGUGGUCACUAGGAAUUGCGUGCUCUCUGUUUUGGAAGUGUUGGAAGUUUGUUAACGCUCAGCUUGUCAUUCUCAGUCUGGGGUCCCUGGCAGUUUGACUUAUAGGAAAGAGAUAGGACUGGCAGUAAGUAGCAGGAGGUCAGGAUUGUCACCUUGGCCACAAGUGUUGGUCUGAAAAAAAGGAGGGGUGUGAGAGCAGCCCAGCUGGGACCUUACCUGAGAGUCGGGGGAGGGCCUGCUCUCAUCUUCAUGGCCCCAGAAGGUAUGCCAGGCCUCCUCUUCUGAAGCCUGGGUCUGGCAGGCCGAUUCAUUGCUAGACAGAAGUUGUCAAGGAGUCAGGCUUUGCCUCUGCCUUGAGGACUGCCCUGUCCUGGUAUCCAUGUCUGGGGAAUGGAGUGAGCCAUUAGAGGAUGCUUUUGAGGGGAGGGCAGGGAACGAGCCUAGGUUCUAGGAUAGUUUGAGGGCUCAUUUCUCCACACCAU